AGCAGCCGCGGUAAUUCCAGCUCCAAUAGCGUAUAUUAAAGUUGUUGCAGUUAAAAAGCUCGUAGUUGAAUUUCGGGGUUAGUAGGUUGGUCGUGCCUUUGGUAUGUACUGGUCUCACUGAUUCCUCCUUCUUGAAGAACUGUAAUGUCAUUAAUUUGGUGUUGCAGGGAAACAGGACUGUUACUUUGAAAAAAUUAGAGUGUUUAAAGCAGGCUAACGCCUGAAUACAUUAGCAUGGAAUAAUGAAAUAGGACGUUUGAUCCUAUUUUGUUGGUUUCUAGGAUUGACGUAAUGAUUAAUAGGGAUAGUUGGGGGCAUUAGUAUUCAAUUGUCAGAGGUGAAAUUCUUGGAUUUAUUGAAGACUAACUACUGCGAAAGCAUUUGCCAAGGAUGUUUUCAUUAAUCAAGAACGAAAGUUAGGGGAUCGAAGACGAUCAGAUACCGUCGUAGUCUUAACCAUAAACUAUGCCGACUAGGGAUCGGAUGAUGUUAAUUUUUUAAUGACUCAUUCGGCGCCUUACG
rnacentral:rRNA from 1 species